rnacentral:lncRNA from 1 species
GGUUGAUCCCAAGUUCUUCCACCAUUGAAUUCUUCACAGGUUCUCUAAAGAUUAAUCUUUUCUCAAUCCUCCAACAGAGCUAAACCAGAUUGAACAUGCGCCGAUCUGAUUCAACUGAAACUCACUAGUAAAGCAUGCGUCUACUAGUUUAAUCAAUACCCACUUUGUUCCAUGCGUAUACUCCAUGGGAAUGCUUACCUCCUCUCCCU